GGUUAUGUGUANACAAAGUCGCUGAGACUCCUAUAGGGCAAUAGCGGCGCUGAUCUUCCCAUGCUCCGGGGCGCCGUGUUCGCGCCGAUAUAGUUUGAUCCUGGCUCACGACAAACGCUGGCGGCUUGGCAAUGACAUCCAAGCCGAGCGGACCUGUUUGAAGCUUGCUUUGAACAGGUUAGCGGAGGACGGGUGAGUAACAGGUAGGCAACCUGCCUCUCAGACCGGGAUAACGUAGGGAAACUUAUGCUAAUACCGGAUAGGUUUCCGGAUCGCAUGAUCCGGAAAGGAAAGGCGGCGCAAGCUGUCACUGAGAGAUGGGCCUGCGGCGCAUUAGCUAGUUGGGGGGGUAACGGCCUACGCAAAGCGACCAUGCGUAACCGACCUGAGAGGGUGACCGGCCACACUGGGACUGACACACGGCCCAGACUCCUACGGGAGGCACCAGUAGGGAAUUUGCCACGAUGGGCGAAAGCCGGAUGGAGCAACGCCGCGUGAACAAUGAACGGCUUCGGGUUGUAAGAGUCUGUUGUCACGGACAAACCAGUGCCGUUUGAAGGAGGCCGCACCCUGACGGUACGUGAGGAGAGAGCGACGGGCAACGACGUUCCGGCACCGCCCGAGAUACGGUAGGGGCCGAGGCCGGCCCGAGUCAUGUGGCUUGAAGCCCCCGCAGGCGGCUAUGUAGGGGGGCAUGGCGCGCCCGUGGGCGGAACGCCGCGAGCGGAAGGGGGAGGAUAACUUAAGGGCAAAGAAUGGGGCGCGACGCCGCUGUGACGCCGAACCACAGAGCAGGGGGGGAUGGUAAGACGAGUCAGAGCCAGGGCGGCGGAGCGCGAUCGGAGGCGGGGGCCGAGGGUGGGCGAAGUGACCGGCCGGACGGGCACGGCGGCCGGCAGAGGAGG
rnacentral:rRNA from 1 species